GUUCUGUUGACAUCUGGACUGUAACCUCUUGAGAGAUCCUGAAGAACUAUAGAGCUAUGUUGUUUCUGAAUUCCUGACCUACAAAAAUUGUGAGAUAACAAGUGUUUUUGUUUGAAGCCACAAAAUUUUGGGGGGUAAUUUGUUACACAGUAGCAGGUGAUUCAUACAUCUGGUUAGAGUUCGCUCAUGUUAUCUGAGGCAUGAAAGAUCAAUGAAUGCUUUUCCCACAGUUACUGAAUUCACAUUUGCCUAUUAUGCAUUCUCGUAUGCACAGAAAGGUAGGAGUUACUUGUGAAGGACUUCCCGCAAUAAUUACAUUCAUAGGGUUUUUUUCCAGUGUGAGUUCUCAUGUGUUUCUUAACGGACGAGAGAACAUUAAAGGCUUUUCCACAAUCACUGCACUCAUAGGAUUUCUCUCCAUUAUGUAUUCUCCUGUGAAUUGUAAGAGAAAAGCUAUUGGUAAAGGAUUUCCCACACUCAUUACAUGUGUAGGGUUUUUCUCCAGUAUGAGUUCUUAUAUGCUGUGUCAGAUUCGACCUCCUCCUGAAGGUUCUCCCACAAUCGUGGCAUUCGUAAGGGUACUCCCCUGUAUGAAUGCUAUAGUGCGAAGAAAGAGAUGACCUCGUGCCGAAAGCCUUUCCACAAUGAUUACAUACAUAAUGACCCUCCCCCGUAUGAACUCUCUUGUGCCUUGUGAAGAUUGACUGAGUGCGGAACUCACGAAAACACUGGUUACAUUUGUAGGGUUUUUCUCCAGUGUGAAUUCUCAAGUGCGGUCUGAGGUAUGAGGAAUUGCUGAAGGUUUUCCCACAGUCACUGCAUUCGUAGGGUUUCUCCCCAUUGUGGAUUCUCUUAUGAACAGUAAGGCUACUCCCAGGUCCAGCGCACAGUACCACAGAGCAGCUGUCUUUUCUCACUCAAACUGGGAGCUCCUGUGAUCUUAUUUCCCUCAAUCUCCAGGGGAUCAUGGGCCCGUGACAUGGCA
rnacentral:lncRNA from 1 species